rnacentral:rRNA from 1 species
CAGUAGCCGCGGUAAUACGUAGGUGGCAAGCGUUGUCCGGAAUUAUUGGGCGUAAAGCGCACGUAGGCGGCUUUGUAAGUCAGAGGUGAAAGCCUGGAGCUCAACUCCAGAACUGCCUUUGAGACUGCAUCGCUUGAAUCCAGGGGAGGUGAGUGGAAUUCCGAGUGUAGAGGUGAAAUUCGUAGAUAUUCGGAAGAACACCAGUGGCGAAGGCGGCUCACUGGACUGGUAUUGACGCUGAGGUGCGAAAGCGUGGGGAGCAAACAGGAUUAGAUACCCCGGUAGUCCCUGUCUCUUAUAC